rnacentral:misc_RNA from 1 species
GAUGAAGAACGCAGCGAAAUGCGAUAAGUAAUGCGAAUUGCAGAAUUCCGUGAGUCAUCGAAUCUUUGAACGCACAUUGCGCCCCCUGGUAUUCCGGGGGGCAUGCCUGUUCGAGCGUCAUUUCACCACUCAAGCCUCGCUUGGUAUUGGGCAACGCGGUCCGCCGCGUGCCUCAAAUCGACCGGCUGGGUCUUCUGUCCCCUAAGCGUUGUGGAAACUAUUCGCUAAAGGGUGUUCGGGAGGCUACGCCGUAAAACAACCCCAUUUCUAAGGUUGACCUCGGAUCAGGUAGGGAUACCCGCUGAACUUAAGCAUAUCAAUAAGCGGAGGA